ensembl:lncRNA
GUCUUUUUAGGAACACAAAGAAGAUGAAGCAACCAGCAAAAGAAACUCUAGUCCUUCAGAUGCUGAGUAUUACAAGGAAAAAAUUUUGACUACAAGCAUUUUGUUACCUUGUUUUCACUGAAGUUCAGAGGAAGGUUUUGGAGUUUUGCCUAAGGAACCUAUGGAGGAGGAAGUGGAAGCAAGAACAGAGAGAGGCAAGCAGACUCGCCACAGUUCAAAAGCCUUUGAUCAUCUGUUCAACAUUCUAUUUAACAACAUUCAACAUAUCAUAGAAUCAUAGAAUGGCCUGGGUUGAAGAGGACAACAGUGAUCAUCUAGUUUCAACCCCCCUGCUUUGUGUAGGCUAGCCAACUGCCCAGAGUCACAUCCAGCCUGGCCUUGAAUGCCUCCAGGGAUGGGGCAAAUGUUUCACUUGCAUUUGUUGCAUACAAUAGUGCUUAGUUUUGACAGCUAUCACAAUAUUUCUUGUGGACUAAAGUCAGAUUGGAAUUAACGUACCAAAUAAUCAAGUACAUUCAUACUUACUAUCUCUAACGUUUUCAGAAUAACAAAUAAUAUUAUGUUUCCAGACCAGUUAUUCCAAAUGUGAGAACAAUAUUACCUAAUAACUAAACAUCAUAUAUCUUUGCUACCUGAUUUUUGCAAAAGCAUUCAGGCAUGACAACAACAAUGCACAUAGACAAGUUCAGUAGACAAAUUAGCAGCUGAUAAUGAAAAUAUUUUUGAGAACUUUUUUAUCUAGAAGCUCAUAUGCUGGUAGGUGAAAAGAACACUAUUUCUACUACUUGUUUUUCUCAAAGAAUUUUUAAUUUUGUAAUAGAAAAUGAGUAAAUUGUUUAGAAUUUCAGCAAACAGAUUUGACAAAACUAGUGAGCGCAACAGAUAUUAAAUGUUCUAGAAUUUUAUAGCAAUUAAGAUUAUAUGGGGAAGAAUCCAACUGAGGUACUAUGUUAACUAUACCUACUAAAUUAUAUAAACAUUGUUACGUUUUAGGUAGACUCAAGGAAUAUUUAAAACUUAAAAAAAAAAAAAAAUAGAGAGAGAGAGAGAGAAUAUUAUUUUUGUGUUUCUUUCCCAGACUAAUAAGAAACAUGACUUAGAGUGUAUAACAAAGACAGUUUUUUUUCUAUAUAUAUUUGUUCUCAUUUCCAAUUCCCACACAGACAUAAAACUCAAAAAACACAUUAUAAGCUGUUCUGUGAUCAACAUUUCAGCUAUGCCAAACUUGAGUGAUAUAUCUUUACUAGAACUUUCUUGAUGUCUGAUCAUUUUAACUAUUAAGUUUCCUUUUGUCAUGCAGCUGUAAUACUGGAAUAUUCAUGAUGGUAAAUUACCAACCUUACAAAUCUUGGACUGACAUGGACUAUAAAAUAAGCCAUCCUAUCACUAAAAAGGGGCUAGAUAUUUACUAGAACAAAUUCAGCUACCACAUACUUGAUUCUCUGCUUGGAAAGUUUUCCUUUUAUUCCUUUUCUUCCUAUACAGAUAAUUUGUUAGAGAGAACUGAGUUCACAAGUCACUGGUCUCAUAUUUCACUUUUAACAUUUGUUUUUAAAAUUUCAAAAUACUAUCUUAUUAUCUCAGCACUGUAUUUUUUCAAACUCAUAUCCAGUCAUUUUUGCUAAAUAGUAUUGAUCCAAAUGGUAUAACUUGGUUCUGUCUCACAUCAGUUUUUCACAUAAAUUGAAAUUCUGCUCCCCAAAAACCUAAAUGAUAGAAAAAACAUUUCCAAUUUUAUGUCAUUAUGUACUUUAUAUACAUUAGAGAUGUUCUGAUUUUUUUGUUGUUAAUUUCAUCCUAACUAUAUAAAAGAAAAUGCUAAAACACCACUGAACUCUGCACAGAAAUUUAAAAGAAAGCAGAAAGCACAUUCUUACUCUCCAACAAAACAAAUUCUAGAUAACGUUAGUGAAGUGAAAGCCUGUGACAAACAAUUGUUUGUGUGUCAAACUGUAUAUAUAAGGUAUGUAUACCCACAGGCAAGGCAGUGUCAGCAAUGGCACCUGGGGGCAACAAUGAAUCACAGAGUAAGGAAUCUGAAAGAGAGAAAGGCCCAAACUGUGUACUUGUGGCUUGGAGACAGCAGUCAGCCAACGGUAGUAUUAUAUUUAUUUCUUUUUCAUGAGGGAAAAAGGAUGAAAGACACUGCAGCAGCUCUCCCUGAAGAAUCCAUGAUAACAGAGCAAAAAAGCCAGAAGAAAGAAAAAAGAUGUCUUUCAACAAUACUCAACACAUUUGUGUGUGUUAAUAUACAGGGCUCAGGCUAUCAGUGGUGUGACUUCUGGUGGGCCUAAUUAUUCUUUCUGAAAGAAUAUGUAAAAAUUGAAAUGUUUUGGGGAACGUUCUUUUUAGAAUCAUAGAAACCUCAGAGUUAGAAGGGACUUUUAAAGGUCAUCUAAUCCAACUCCCCUGCAAUGAACAGACAUCCACAACCCCAUCCAGCCUGACCUUGAAUGUCUCCAGGUACAGGGCAUGCACCACAUCUCUGAGCAACUUCUUUCAGUGCCUCAACAACCUCACUGCAAGACUUUUUCCUUAUGUCUAACCUAAGACCUCCAAGAUCAUCCAGUCCAACCAUCUACCUAUCACCAAUAUUUCCCCACUACGCCAUGUACCCUUAGUACAACAUCUAGACAUUUCUUGAACACCUUACAGGCUGGUUACUCAACUGUGUCCCGGGGCAGCCUAUUCCAGCACCUGACUACUCUUUUGGAGAAGAAAUUUUUCCUAACAUCCAACUGAAAACUCCUCUGGUGCAACUUGAAGUCAUUCCCUCUAGUCUUAUCACUAGCUAUGUGGGAGAAGAGGCCAACACCCUUCUCAUCACAACCUCUCUUCAGAUGGUUGUAGAGAGUGAUAAGGUCUCUUCUGAGCCUCCUCUUCUUCAGACUAAACAAUGCCUGUUCCCUCAGCUGCUUCUCAGAAAACUUGUGCUCCAGAACCCUCACCAGCUUCAUUGCCUUUCUCUGGACACACUCCAGAGCCUCGAUGUCUUUCUUGUUGUGAGAGGCCCUAAACUGAACACUUGAGGUGCGUCAGAGGGAUGAUCACUUUCCUUCUCCUGCUGGCAACACUAUUUCUGAUACAAGGCAGGAUACCAUUGGCCUUCUUGGACACUUGGGCAUGCUGCUGGCUCAUGUUCAACUGAGCAUCAACCAGAACUGCUAGGACCAUUUCUUCCAUACAGUCUUCCAGCCACUCUGUCCCAAGCCUCUAGCAAUGCCUGUGGUUGCUGUGGACAAAGUGCAGGACUUCACACUUGGUCUUGUUAAACUUCAUCCUAUUGACCUCAACCCAGCAUCCCAGCACAAUCAGACUUAAUAGGGUGUAUCAGGAAAAAAAAAAAAAAAAAAAAAAAAAAGUUUCUUUUUGCAUCAGCUCUGUUUUAACCUUAUCAGAAAGUCAAAUCAGAAUUAUAAUUCAAUAACUUACAAUAUUUAGAGUAUAAAAUAUAUGUGCAAGUUCCAUUUUAGUGACCUAAAAUCAGUGUUUUCAAAUAUGAGUUUCAAGGUAGAGAGGUAAUACGCAUUUGACUUCAAAGGCAUAAUGGCAAUAACCUUAUGAUUUCAGUUCUAAUAUUUCAGAAAACAUAAUUCAUACUAACUUGAGCAAUUGUGUUCACUGAUAUUAAAUAUAUUUUUAAAACUGUUGUAGAAUUUUCUUAAUUUCUCCAUUAAUAGUGCAACAUAAUAUUCUGAACUGUUACAUGUCAGUUACUAAAGAAUACUGUAUUCUUUAACAUUAAUAUAUGGAAAAAAAUAUCUGAACAAUUACGUGAAUCAAGCAAGUCAAAAAUCAAGAUGCAUCCUGAAGCUCUAUGUGUUCUCUGUUAUCCCUUCCAUAACUGUGACAUGAAGGAUGGGAAAUAUAAGGGUUAUUAUUAAAGAUCAUUUAUUAUUUGUCUGAAUACAUAGUAUUAGACAAAAUAAAGAAA